AAAAAAAAAAAAAAAAAAAUAGAUGUUAGCUUAUUCCAUCAACCUUUAUAUUCAAGAAACUCAAAGGGUUACAUAGAUUGGAGAUAUUGUACACCCAAAUCGGGUUACGAGUAUAUGUAUAUAUAUGGGGAAAACACAAUCGAAAUAACAAAUUUACCUAAUAACAAAACAAAUGAAUAUAUUCAAGAAAGACUAAGAAAAGCUUAAAUAAAUAUGGAAGAUUAAAAAUUUUAAAAUGUUUAAGUAAUAGAAACGAUCCAUAUAUAAACAACAAUGUUGCUUAUGCCAGUUUUACAAAAAAGCAGAUAUGUAUAAAUGUAUACGAAAUGUAAAUAUAAGAUUACCUUUAUCAUUACAACAUAAAAUUUUAAAAUUUAAAAGCUUAUAUUCUAAUAAAAGUAACGAUUAUAAUUAUUUUUUUAAACAAGAUCAUUAUAAUUACAGUUCAAUAAAUAUAGCGUUAAAUUUAUUUAAAUAUUUACAAUUUCAUAAUUGUUUUUUAAAUAUUAAAGACAUAUAUAAAUAUGUAUUUGAAUAUUCGUAUUAUCCUCAUAAAAUUAUUAGUUCAGGUAUAUCUAUAUAUAAGGUAUUUAACAGUUGGCUUAACUUUAUUAACUUCUUUGAAGAACUUUUUAUCAAAACAAAUAAAAACAAUGAAAUAUUAAUUAGUGCGAAUAUUAUAUCCGAUCAAAAUUUAUGUAUAUAUUUAAAUAACAAAUUAAUCGAAUUAAAAAAAAAAACGAACUCGAUUAACUCUGUACACUGGAGACAACAUUCUUUACAAUUACCACAAGAUGUAGAAGCUAAGUUAAACAAUGAACAUCCACAAAAAUUAAAAGAAGAAAUUCAAAUUUUAUCAAGAACGAAAGAUUUUUACAAGAUUCAUGAUGAACGUCAUUUAUUUAAAUUAAAACUCAACAAAGAGAGGAAAGAAAAAAAAGGAUUACUAAAAAAUAAAAACACAAAGUAAAGAUGAAAACAUCAUUUUUGCUUUUUUUCAUUAUAGAGUUAAUGAUUUUUUAUAAAACGAAUGCGGAAUCAAAAAUUUAUAAAUUAAAAUUAGAUAAUGUAAUAUAUAGUAUUUUUAUUGAGCAAAAAAAAGUAUCUUUUAGUGAUUUAGAUGCCUAUAAAAUUAUGUUCCAUUCAAAUCAUAUAAACUAUAGUGGAAAUGCAGUUAUAUAUUAUUUAUAUAAGCUAGGCUUUAAUAAUUUUGAAAAUGGAGAAUUCCUUUUAAAAAAUAUUAAUAUAACAUAUAAUGCACCACUAAAAUAUAAUGAUCAUUAUAAAAUUAUUGGAACAAUCACAUAUUAUGGUAAUACUUCUUUAGGAAUAAGUUUGGUGGGUGUGACAUCUACAAUAAACGAAAUUAAUAAUUCA
rnacentral:lncRNA from 1 species